rnacentral:lncRNA from 1 species
AUAUUAUUUUUAUUAUCGAGUAUCUGGAACUCACCCCUUUGUUUUUCUUCUAAAUAGGGAAGAGAAUAAGGAACCAAUUGUUGAUCUAUCCCUUGAAAAUUUUGAGGAUCCCAUGGAUACAUGAACCAUUAUGAGUGCAUAGUUGUCUCGCACUCUGAUGAGUCCAUCUUUUGUAGAGGCUUGUAAUUAAUUUUGUUUCUACCUUAGUAAUGUAUGAAACUC